CGCGUAGGCGGCCUCUGCAAGUCGACUGUGAAAUCUCCGGGCUUAACCCGGAAAGGUCAGCCGAUACUGCAGGGCUAGAGUGCAGAAGGGGCAACUGGAAUUCUCGGUGUAGCGGUGAAAUGCGUAGAUAUCGAGAGGAACACCUGCGGCGAAGGCGGGUUGCUGGGCUGACACUGACGCUGAGGCGCAAAGGCUAGGGGAGCGAACG
rnacentral:rRNA from 1 species